rnacentral:rRNA from 1 species
CAGUCGCCGCGGUAAUACGUAGGGUGCAAGCGUUAAUCGGAAUUACUGGGCGUAAAGCGUGCGCAGGCGGUUAUAUAAGACAGAUGUGAAAUCCCCGGGCUCAACCUGGGAACUGCAUUUGUGACUGUAUAGCUAGAGUACGGCAGAGGGGGAUGGAAUUCCGCGUGUAGCAGUGAAAUGCGUAGAUAUGCGGAGGAACACCGAUGGCGAAGGCAAUCCCCUGGGCCUGUACUGACGCUCAUGCACGAAAGCAUGGGGAGCAAACAGGAUUAGAUACCCCGGUAGUCCCUGUCUCUUAUAC